rnacentral:rRNA from 1 species
UCCUACGGGGGGCAGCAGUAGGGAAUCUUCCACAAUGGGCGAAAGCCUGAUGGAGCAACGCCGCGUGGGUGAAGAAGGUCUUCGGAUCGUAAAACCCUGUUGUUAGAGAAGAAAGUGCGUGAGAGUAACUGUUCACGUUUCGACGGUAUCUAACCAGAAAGCCACGGCUAACUACGUGCCAGCAGCCGCGGUAAUACGUAGGUGGCAAGCGUUCUCCGGAUUUAUUGGGCGUAAAGGGAACGCAGGCGGUCUUUUAAGUCUGAUGUGAAAGCCUUCGGCUUCACCGGCGUCGUGCAUUGGAAACU